rnacentral:rRNA from 1 species
UACGUAGGGUGCAAGCGUUAAUCGGAAUUACUGGGCGUAAAGCGUGCGCAGGCGGUUGUGUAAGACAGAUGUGAAAUCCCCGGGCUCAACCUGGGAACUGCAUUUGUGACUGCACGGCUCGAGUGCGGCAGAGGGGGAUGGAAUUCCGCGUGUAGCAGUGAAAUGCGUAGAUAUGCGGAGGAACACCGAUGGCGAAGGCAAUCCCCCGGGCCUGCACUGACGCUCAUGCACGAAAGCGUGGGGAGCAAACAGG